GGGAGUAUAGCUCAGGAGUAGAGCAGCAGAUUGCAAGUCUCGCAGGCCUCAGGUGCGAAUCCUGAUACUCUCU
rnacentral:tRNA from 1 species